rnacentral:rRNA from 1 species
UAAGCGGAGGAAAAGAAACUAACAAGGAUUCCCCUAGUAACGGCGAGUGAAGAGGGAUCAGCCCAAAAUUGUAAUCUGGCUCUUUCAGAGUCUGAGUUGUAAUUUUAAGAACUGUUUUCUGCUCUGGACCAUGUACAAGUCUGUUGAAAUGCAGCAUCAUUGAGGGUGAGAAUCCUGUUCAUGAUAUGGACUACCAGGGCUUUAUGAUACAGUCUCUAAGAGUCGAGUUGUUUGGGAAUGCAGCUCAAAGUGGGUGGUAAAUUCCAUCUAAGGCUAAAUAUUGGUGAGAGACCGAUAGCAAACAAGUACCGUGAGGGAAAGAUGAAAAGAACUUUGGAAAGAGAGUUAACAGUACGUGAAAUUGUUAAAAGGGAAACAGUUGAAGUUAGACUUGUUGUUGUUGGUUCAGCUCUUUAAGGGUGUUUUCUGAUAAUUAACAAACCAACAUCAAUCUUUGGGUGUUGGAUAAGGGUCAUUGAAAUGUAGCAGUCUUGGCUGUGUUAUAGUCUUUGACUUGGAUACAAUGCUUGGGAUUGAGGAAUGCAGUAAGCCAUUU